CAAUUUAUGAUGAUGAACUGUAAAUUCAUUUAAGUUAAAGAAUUAGUCAACC
rnacentral:tRNA from 1 species